UUUACUCUCGUUCAUUUUUUUGCUGUAAAAGUGGUAUAGUUGGAGACUUUUGCUCCAUAGAAAUCUCUAUGCUCGCGUCCUAAGAUUGCAUUGUUAGAAAAAAGAGAGAGAGAGAAACAAAAACCCAAAUCAGGCUAAUACCCGCGUUUCCGCCUUCAAGGGUCUUCGUUGCUUCCAUCCCCAAACGGCGGAUUCUCCUCGUAGAAGGUAUUCAUGUUCCCCAUCUCCUUAUAAGGGUCGCUCUAGAUCAAGAUCCCGAUCUAGGGGCCGGUCCCAGUUCAGGUCCCUGUCUCCCCUUCCCAGUUCUCAGACACAAUCAUGAACUGGAAGUCAGAGCGAGUCUUCAUGAAUGAUGCAAGAAAUCCUGGAAGUACUCCUUAUGUAAUGGGCCUUUCUUCUGGGGUUACAGAGAGGGACCUCAAGGACCACUUCUCCAGGGAGGGAAAGGUGGUCUGAUGUCAUUUAAUCGUUGAACCCAUACACACAUCUCGAAGGUUUGCAUUUUUGACUACGGACACAAAUGAAGACAGCCGAACUCAAUCUGUCAGUUCUGGAAGGGCGGUACAUAACUGUUGAAAAGAAAACAUUGCAUCAGAUAUGUUGGCUGCAAUCAAGAUGAUCAGUUCAUCCAUUUCAACUCAAGUCAUACAGCUUGAUGAAUGGCCAACCUAAUGGUUUUCCAUGCAUCACACCAACCUAGCAAAAUUUCCAACUAAACCUCGGCAAUUCACUUUCAAUUACAACUACUCAACGGACAUCACCUUCUCUGUAAUCGGGCGUAUAUGUCAAGGAGGGGAUGCCCAUGAACACCUGCACCUGGAAAGUACCUUAAUAUGAGAAGUUCUCAAGACACCACUGAAUUUUUGCCCCCAGCUUAAAAUAUAUGAUCCUUACUAAAACUCAAGUGUUCUUCCCGUUAAACCUUGUCAUCUAAUUUUUGUGUUGUUACUAUUUUCCACCUCGCUCAUCUCUGUCCCUUGUCUCUAUUUGGCAGGCUAUCGACAUGAUCGUGGAAGAUAUCGUGGAGGCUGUGCUCGUGAUGAUUAAGGUGGUGAUUAUCUGAGAUCCUGCUCACCUUGUAGGGGCGGCCAUGAUUAUUCUCCUCGUAGAUCACCUAAUGGUCAUAGGUCCAGAAGAGAACGAAUCAAGGUCCCUACCUUACUCUCCAUAUUGGAAGCCCUGAUCGAGGCUAUGGGCGUGGUGCAAAUGGGUACGCCAGGUGAUUCGGGUCCUUCGUCCUGUCUUAGACCCACUAGAUCCAGGAUAUUGAGUGCUAUGGAGAUGGUGAUUGGGCCCUUGCAGUUGUUUAUUUUUUCCUUUCUUCUUUAAGCUGGAUUGAGUUUAGUUUAUAACACUUUGUGUCAUCCACCGGUAUAUUCUGCUGUUCUCGCCAUCUGUAGUUUUUCUUGCUUUGUUUCAAAAUGCGAGACUAUUUUUUUGACGGAUUAAAUUGGUUAACUUUCUGAGGAAAGUGGAAAAAAUUGUUCAGAGAUGUGAGUUUACCUUCUGAAUGAUAUUGUUGCUAUCUUUAAGCUU